GACGUAGGGCGCGAGCGUUGUCCGGAUUUAUUGGGCGUAAAGAGCUCGUAGGCGGCUUGUCGCGUCGACUGUGAAAACCCGCGGCUCAACCGCGGGCCUGCAGCCGAUACGGGCAGGCUAGAGUUCGGUAGGGGAGACUGGAAUUCCUGGUGUAGCAGUGAAAUGCGCAGAUAUCAGGAGGAAUACCGAUGGCGAAGGCAGGUCUCUGGGCUGACACUGACGCUCAUGCACGAAAGCGUGGGGAGCAAACAGG
rnacentral:rRNA from 1 species